UCUGAGAGCAAGCACUUUCUUAGGCCUUGGUGUCUUCUCAGGCCUGCAUAUGAUGUUUCCUGGGCCAAGCCAUGUCUACAGCUCUGGAGCUUAUUUCCUGGAGUGGGUGUUGUCAUCUCAGGCGUCUUGCUGAUCAUCAUUCUCGUUGACAGUUUCGUUCCUGGGUCAGAAAACAUGUUGUCUAUCAGUGAGUCAUCAUCCUCCCCGCUCUCGCUGACUCUGGGGGUGUUUUCUUCCUUGAACUUUUUGUAGCCAAAAGUGCGAGGGAUCUGUACACUGAUAGUGCCAGGUGUCUAUUACCACAGGGAGCUAUCCUGGGGCAGGCCUAUUGGGGUCUUUCCCUCCUGCCAGCUGUCUUUCCAGGCUGUCACCAGGUCUUCCCCUAGUUGCCAGCUGCUCUUUUCACACUAGUCAUUGGGUGGAUCCAGAUGAUCAGUUAUGUUUUAGGACUAGGUGAAACAAUCCGUAAAAAGGAAUAUGUCUGUGCCAUAAGCAUCAGAAAGUUUUUUUUUUUUUUAUGAUUAUGGCCCUGAAUGACAUCAUAGGACAUUCCCAGAGAAGCGCAGGUACACAUCAACCAGAGCGAGAGCGCUGCACUUGCUGCAGCAAUGGAGUUGUGCAAGUGUGUUAGUUUGUUCUCAGUAUUUUGGUGAUUAAAGUUUUAGAAAUAAACAAAAUUUAAGUGAAUUAAGUGUUUGUCCGUUUAUUUGUCACAGCUUGCAGACGAUCUCAUAAAAUUCUACAUAUAAAAUCCACACAUAAUAAAGUGACUAUUACACCCACAGAAAACAUGAAUACUGUUGCCAAGCAGAGUUCACUGCUUGGAAACAUUAAACAACAUUUUGUGUUUAGUUUUUGAGGUUGAGAGUAUUGCAAAUGUAUUACAAAAGGUAAAAACAUUACAGCUUAUCUUAAGAAAAAAAAAUUGCUUAAAAAGGCAAUAUAUUACAUUAUUUCUCAAUCUUUGCUUAUGUGAAGUGCAAACCUCAAGCAUUAAACACUAAAGCUAUGUUCACAUUUGGCAUCUUUUUUGAAGCUGCCAGCUUCGUUUUUACAUUAUAAUCCUAUAAAGCAAAAGUGUUUUCAAAAAAGUCCUGAGCGCUUUUUAAAAAACCACCGCAAUGGUCUUUUUCUGCAGCUCAGAGCGUCUUUUCAAGUUGAAUAAAAGUUUAACUUUUCUGAAAAAAAUAAAAAAUAAAUAAUAGCCCUAGGUCAAGCACCUUUUUGUCAGCUGAACAAUUAAAAGUCAGUGGCAAGUUGUUCCAUAACAACAAAAACAAGGAGAAAAGGUAAACAGAUCGUACUAGUUUCGGAGCACAAGGAGUUAUAUGAUACGAGUACCAUACAGUUUCUUACCAGUAUAAUGUUGAGCUCCCACAAACAUUGUCAAAAGCCAACAUUUCUGCGGCACACAAUGCUAGGCUAUCAGUGCAGAUGUUGUUUUAGCAACAAAAGACGACCUCAGCUGUUAUUUGUAACCAAAACUAACACUGCAUUCCAUUCAAGUCGUCUGGCUUUUUAACCCCCUAUAUAUAGCAGAUAUCCCAAAUUCCAUUUAGAAUGGUACAUAACUUAACGUGACAUGCCUGAUUUUGAUGUUUGGAACCAAAAUGAUCAGAGCAGAUGUAAAAGUUCAGUAUUGAAGUUAAAUCAUCAGAGAUAAGGUGGAUAUGCGUCUCCAAUAAGCAUUAAUCCACAAAUGACUUAAGCUGUUAACUUUUUUAAUGUGGCUGACACUCCCUCCGAGUUAAAACAAACCAAUAUCCCGGAGUAAUUCAUGUACUCAAAGAGUACACUGACUGAACUGAUGUGAAGAGAGAACUGAAGAUGAACGCCGAGCAGAGCCAGAUAACAAACAAAAGUUUGACUCGUUCUUGAUUCAAGAACCGGUUGCAUUGGUUUUAGGAUCAAACGAUUUAGGAUACGGUUGACCGUACCCACAGUUUCAAUGGAGGGACUGAGAGCUCUCGGACUAAAUCUAAAAUAUCUUAAACUGUGUUCCAAAGAUGAACGGAGGUUGAGGGUGAGGAUGAGUCAUUAAUGACAUAAAUUUUAAUUUUUGGGUGAAGUAACCCUUUAAGGACACAAGGUGACCUUCCUCACUUAUCUAGAGUCCCUGUAGAUCCAUGAGAACUCUAAAAGGAUCAGAUAUGAGCAGACAUCUGAAUUCACCUUAAGUAAAGACUUUUAGUAAAAGUAAACUUUUAUUCCAGAGAUAUUCUGGGGACACUUUACAAAUAGAUUCAAAUGGUUAAUAUUAGUAUUAUUUAAUGACACCUAAUGCAUUAAACUUCUACAACAUUUCUUAACGUAGGUUAAUGUUAAUUCAUAAAUAUACUGAUUUGUCUUAAUGCUCGUGUACAUUAAUAACUUGAAAUGUAAAAAAAAAAAAAAAAAAUUUUUAUACAGUUGUUUAUACUACAGAACUUGUUCAAUGGCAGUUCAUGGCUGCCAUUUGUUUUGUAAUGAAUAGUUUGUCAAUUUCAAUAGCUUCCUAUUUGUAUUUUUGUUUGUGUAUUCUGUAACUACUGUUGUUACGCUCGCUCUUUGCUACACGUUGUGAAGCAUUGUGAUCUCUAAAAGACACUGGAUAAAUAAAAAUGAUUACAUCUCUUAUUCAUUCAUUUCUUUUUCUAUUUCACUCACUGAAUUUUUCAUUCUCUAAUUCAAUCACUCACUCUUCCCCUCACUCUCCCUCUUUCUAAAUCAUUCACUCCUUUCAUUUUAAUCUCAUUCACAUUCUCAUAACUUUCUCUCUUUCAUUCCCCAUCUUAAUCAUUUUUCU